AUAAAGGGUUAUGGACUGCAAAAGAAAUAAAAAGGUUUUAGGACUAAGAAACAGAAUACGCUGAAACGUUAAGUUAAAAAAAGGGCCCUCGUUCACGCACAAACGCAGAAUCGUAAGACAAAGUCUUGUUGCUCAGUACUCCCGCAGGCAACGCGAAGUUUAGGUUUCUUUACAAGUCACUAAUUCUUGAACUCAGAAUCAAUUGUUUGACGGAUAUAAAUUGGAUUGGAGUCUACGUAUUGGCUCGAGAAGUUUUGAGGAACCGGAUUUGCAGGCGAGCAGGCUACGAGUUAGGACUUCCUUCCCUUCCAGUGAUAUUGGGAGGAAUGGGAAGUGGCAGAUGAAGAGUUCCCUAAGCUCAAGUUGUUGAAGCUAGAAAAUCUCAAACUCUCACAAUGGAGAGCAUCUGAUGAAGCCUUUCAGAACCUUAGGCGAUUGGUUGUAACAAGAUGUUUAAAACUCGAAGCAAUCCCUUAUUGCUUUGAGGACAUUCCUUAUUUGGAAUACAUUGAAGUAAAAUCAUGCAGUGAAGAUGUCAUCAACUCAGCCAGGGAUAUCACAGAAAUGCGAGUUGAUAUGGGUUUGGAUUAUUGUGACUUUAAAGUUUUUACUUAGCAUUGGAAUAAUGCUUCAGUUUCUUUGCAGUCCGAUUACAGGGUGCUCCUUGGCGUAGUCAUUGCUGAUUUGUGUUACUUGGUUUUUCCGCUCCUUGUUGUACUCCAGGGACCAUGGC